AGCCGGUGAUGAGAGAAUUUAAUUUCUGACACCUCUUAUGACAGCUUGUGAUUCAAACUUUAAUCCUGAGGCUU